rfam:Microgenomates (Woesebacteria) bacterium GW2011_GWA2_33_28 TR38_C0016, whole genome shotgun sequence.
AGGCGAGUAGUUCAGUUGGUAGAACGCAAGUUUCCAGAACUUGUAAUCGCUGGUUCGAUCCCAGCCUCGCCUG